rnacentral:rRNA from 1 species
AUGUUUCUUUUUUUUGUUAUACAGCGUGGCAAACCAGAGUCUGUUUUGCGUUCUAGAGAAACGAGGACGUCAAUGGAGCAAGCACAGUCUGGUUUUGCGCGCAUGCUGCGAGAAGGCAUCCUCACCGACAUCACCAUCAACGCCAUUGGUGGCAGCAUCAAGGCCCACCGCGCCGUUCUGGCCGCACGGUCAUCAGUGUUCUUGAGGAUGUUCUCGCACAACCUCAAGGAGAAGAAGCUCUCCACGGUUGACAUCUCCGACAUGUCGAUCGACGCAUGUCAGACCUUCGUCGGCUACCUCUACGGUGUCAUCGCGUCGGAGGACGAGCUGCUCACGCACCGGAGCGAGCUCCUCGCGGCCGGUGACAAGUACGGCAUCGCGGACCUCAAGAAGGCGUGCGAGGAGAGCCUUAGGAGGGACGUGAGCACGGAGAACGUGCUGGAGAGGCUGCAGACGGCACACACCUAUGGACUGCCGGCGCUCAGGAGGACCUGCGUGAGGCUGCUCGUGGACUUCGGGAAGAUGUACGAGAUUCCCAAGGAUUUUGCAGAGUUCAUGGAUACCACGGACCAGGAUCUCAUAGACGAAAUCCGUUCGACUGCAACUCUCAGUGGGAGAAAACUUGCGGCCAGAAAGAAGACUGCAGCUAAAAUUACUAGGCGCCGUAGCUUCUAA